CUGCCUCCUUGGAAGUAUUGGGAGUGAGUUCUGCCCUUUGGAAUGGGGUCUGUCAGCAGAAGGAGCAGCAACUGCACCUGGAGAUUGCUUCCUUUAGAGCGUGGGGUGAACCCUUGAAACUGGUGCUGGCAGAUGUAAGGGCAGCAUUGAUCUCUGGAGACUGUCUCCUGUGGAGCAGGGGGCUGUUAUGCGCUGCUUCCAACCAUGCAGAGUUGUUUAAGGGCGUUCUGUGCACCCUUAGGUGUAAUAAAUCUUCGUCUUUAUAGAAAGCCAAGGAUUGUCCUCUUCUGGACUGCUGUACUCAGUAUCACCCCAGUGUGAUGAAGUGAAGCCCCUGCUCUGCUGAAUACUGGGACUGGCCCAGAGAGGCUCUGAUGGAUGUGGAUUAUCCUAGCCAGAGUACUUGGUACCAUUGGUGGUGAUCUUGUCCAACUGCCACACAAUGAACAGGAACAUCCACAGCCAGAUAUGGCUGCCCAGAGGCUGACCCAGCCUCACCUUGGAAGGGACGGGGCAUCCAUCACAUGU